GACGAACGCUGGCGGCGUGCCUAAUACAUGCAAGUCGAACGGAGCGGCGGAAGGGUGAGUAAUGCCUAGGAAUCUGCCUGGUAGUGGGGGAUAACGUCCGGAAACGGGCGCUAAUACCGCAUACUAUCAGAUGAGCCUAGGUCGGAUUAGCUAGUUGGUGGGGUAAAGGCAUACCAAGGCGACGAGCCGUAACUGGUCUGAGAGGAUGAUCCGUCACACUGGAACUGAUACAAGGUCCAGACGCCUACGGUAGGCAGCAGGGGGGAAUAGUGGGCAAUGGGCGAAAGCCUGAGCCAGCCGGGCCGCGUGUGUGAAGAAGGUCUGCGGAUUGUAAAGCACUUUAAGUUGGGAGGCGUUACCAACAGAGUAAGCACCGGCUAACUUCGUGCCAGCAGCCGCGGUAAUUC
rnacentral:rRNA from 1 species